AACGAACGCUGGCGGCGUGCCUAACACAUGCAAGUCGUGGGAGAAAGUGACCUUCGGGUCACGAGUAAACCGGACGCACGGGUGAGUAACACGUAGGUAACGUACCAUCGAACCUGGGAUAACCAGCCGAGAGGUUGGCUAAUACCGGAUACGACCGAGAGGACUUCGGCCCUCACGGUGAAAGGCGGCCUCUGCUUGCAAGCUGUCAUUCGAUGCGCGGCCUGCGCA
rnacentral:rRNA from 1 species